UGGGGAAUAUUGCGCAAUGGGGGGAACCCUGACGCAGCCAUGUCGCGUGAAUGAAGAAGGCCUUAGGGUUGUAAAGUUCUUUCGGUAUUGAGGAAGGUUGAUGUGUUAAUAGCACAUCAAAUUGACGCUAAAUACAGAAGAAGCACCGGCUAACUCCGUGCCAGCAGCCGCGGUAAUACGGAGGGUGCGAGCGUUAAUCGGAAUAACUGGGCGUAAAGGGCACGCAGGCGGUUAUUUAAGUGAGGUGUGAAAGCCCCGGGCUUAACCUGGGAAUUGCAUUUCAGACUGGGUAACUAGAGUACUUUAGGGAGGGGUAGAAUUCCACGUGUAGCGGUGAAAUGCGUAGAGAUGUGGAGGAAUACCGAAGGCGAAGGCAGCCCCUUGGGAAUGUACUGACGCUCAUGUGCGAAAGCGUGGGGAGCAAACAGGAUUAGAUACCCUGGUAGUCCACGCUGUAAACGCUGUCGAUUUGGGGGUUGGGGUUUAACUCUGGCGCCCGUAGCUAACGUGAUAAAUCGACCGCCUGGGGAGUACGGCCGCAAGGUUA
rnacentral:rRNA from 1 species